rnacentral:sRNA from 1 species
GUCCUACAGUCCCAGCUAACUUGGGAGGCUGAGACAAGAGGAUGACUUGAGCCCAGGAAUUCGAGGCUGCAGUGCACUCUGCCUGCCAAUCAGGGGCCUCCAUUGUGUUUGGCAUUAGUAUGGUGACUUGCCAGGAGUAGGGGACCACCAGGUGGCACACACUGAUCAGUUGUGGGAUCCUGCCUGUGAACGGUCAUGGCACUCUAUCCUGGGCAACAUUAGGGAGCCCCCAUCUCUU